rnacentral:rRNA from 1 species
CGAAAGCCUGACGGAGCAAGACCGCGUGGGGGAGGAAGGCUCUAGGGUUGUAAACCCCUUUUCUUUGGGAAGAACAAAAUGACGGUACCAAAGGAAUCAGCCUCGGCUAACUCCGUGCCAGCAGCCGCGGUAAUACGGAGGAGGCAAGCGUUAUCCGGAAUUAUUGGGCGUAAAGCGUCCGCAGGUGGCGAUUCAAGUCUGCUGUCAAAGCACGGGGCUUAACUCCGUUAAGGCAGUGGAAACUGAAUAGCUAGAGUGCCGUAGGGGUAGAGUGAAUUCCCGGUGUAGCGGUGAAAUGCGUAGAGAUCGGGAAGAACAUCGGUGGCGAAAGCGCUCUGCUGGGCCGCAACUGACACUCAGGGACGAAAGCUAGGGGAGCG